rnacentral:rRNA from 1 species
GUCUACGGCCAUGCCACCCUGAACAAGCCGGAUCCUGUCUGAUCUCAGAAGCUAAGCAGGGUCAGGCCUGGUUAGUACUUGGAGGGGAGACCACCUAGGAAGACCAGGUGCUGUAGGUG